AUGGCCACCACUCACCAUGUUUGGUUCUGGGCCAUUCAAUAUUAUAUCUGUCCGCCUAGAGCUCAGCUUGGCGAUUCGUCGAGCGGAUCUCUGAAUUCGUCGGAUGUGAAUAGCGCUUCACUUCCGACGGCCUCCUCCCCUAUCCCUACAGACGGCGCGGAGGUGGAGUCCCGUAGGGGACAAAAUCAGGAGGAGGUGGUCCUAGAAGCGCCACAAGGCGACCUUCCGGACUCCCAACCCAAAGGGGGUAAAACCCCGGAGGGAUCUAAGUCCGGCCCUGGGCCGGACACUGCUCCGGAACCAUUAGUGGUUCCAGAGCCCGACAGGCGGCGCCUUCACAAGAAGGGCAAGUCCGCGACGCCGGCGACUUCCGUUCACCCGGAGGCGCCGGACAAUUUGCUGGAGGCGCUCGACGGCGCCUCUAUCAACGAAGAACACCGCACUAUUAUGAGUGCGGUGAUUCUGAAGGUUCAGUCCACCAAGAGCGGGCUGACGGAAGCCUGCACAAUCCUGUUAACGGGCUUUGAGGCAGUGCUGCUGACCUCUGCCGCACUGACAGCGGAGGUCAAUGCCUUGAAGGAAAGCCUCGAGCGGUUCGAGAGCGAGCUCGGCCGUGCCAAGAAGCAGCUCGAGGAUAAAGAGGUAUUGCAGGAGCCACGACCGAGGUGGCGACCCUGA
rnacentral:rRNA from 1 species